rnacentral:SRP_RNA from 2 species
GCCGGGUGUAGUGGUGUGCACCUGUAAUCCCAACUACUUGGGAGGCUGAGGCAGGAGAAUUGCUUGAACCUGGGAGGAGGAGGUUGCAGUAAGCUGAGAUCACGCCACUGCACUCCAGCCUGGGUGACACAGCGAGACUCUGCCUCAA